UGGGGAAUAUUGCACAAUGGGCGCAAGCCUGAUGCAGCCAUGCCGCGUGUGUGAAGAAGGCCUUCGGGUUGUAAAGCACUUUCAGCGAGGAGGAAGGUGGUGAGCUUAAUACGCUCAUCAAUUGACGUUACUCGCAGAAGAAGCACCGGCUAACUCCGUGCCAGCAGCCGCGGUAAUACGGAGGGUGCAAGCGUUAAUCGGAAUUACUGGGCGUAAAGCGCACGCAGGCGGUUUGUUAAGUCAGAUGUGAAAUCCCCGGGCUCAACCUGGGAACUGCAUUUGAAACUGGCAAGCUAGAGUCUCGUAGAGGGGGGUAGAAUUCCAGGUGUAGCGGUGAAAUGCGUAGAGAUCUGGAGGAAUACCGGUGGCGAAGGCGGCCCCCUGGACGAAGACUGACGCUCAGGUGCGAAAAGCGUGGGGCAGCAAACAGGAUUAGAUACCCUGGUAGUCCACGCUGUAAACGAUGUCGAUUUGGAGGUUGUGCCCUUGAGGCGUGGCUUCCGGAGCUAACGCGUUAAAUCGACCGCCUGGGGAGUACGGCCGCAAGGUUAAAACUCAAAUGAAUUGAC
rnacentral:rRNA from 1 species